rnacentral:rRNA from 1 species
GGAGUUUGAUCAUGGCUCAGAACGAACGCUGGCGGCAGGCCUAACACAUGCAAGUCGAGCGCACCUUCGGGUGAGCGGCGGACGGGUUAGUAACGCGUGGGAAUAUGCCCAAAUCUACGGAAUAGCCUCGGGAAACUGAGAGUAAUACCGUAUACGCCCUUCGGGGGAAAGAUUUAUCGGAUUUGGAUUAGCCCGCGUUGGAUUAGGUAGUUGGUGGGGUAAUGGCCUACCAAGCCGACGAUCCAUAGCUGGUUUGAGAGGAUGAUCAGCAACACUGGGACUGAGACACGGCCCAGACUCCUACGGGAGGCAGCAGUGGGGAAUCUUAGACAAUGGGGGAAACCCUGAUCUAGCCAUGCCGCGUGAGUGACGAAGGCCCUAGGGUCGUAAAGCUCUUUCAGCUGUGAAGAUAAUGACGGUAGCAGCAGAAGAAACCCCGGCUAACUCCGUGCCAGCAGCCGCGGUAAUACGGAGGGGGUUAGCGUUGUUCGGAAUUACUGGGCGUAAAGCGCGCGUAGGCGGACUAUUAAGUCAGGGGUGAAAUCCCGGGGCUCAACCCCGGAACUGCCUCUGAUACUGGUAGUCUUG